GACGAACGCUGGCGGCGUGCCUAAUACAUGCAAGUAGAACGCUGACUACUUUAGCUUGCUAGAGUAGAAGGAGUUGCGAACGGGUGAGUAACGCGUAGGUAACCUGCCUACUAGCGGGGGAUAACUAUUGGAAACGAUAGCUAAUACCGCAUAACAGUGUUUAACACAUGUUAGAUGCUUGAAAGAUGCAAUUGCAUCACUAGUAGAUGGACCUGCGUUGUAUUAGCUAGUUGGUGGGGUAACGGCCCACCAAGGAGACGAUACAUAGCCGACCUGGGAGUGUGAUCGGCGACAGUGGGACUGAGACACGGACCAGACUCCUACGGGAGGCAGCAGGAGGGAAUCUUCGGCAAUGGGGGCAACCCUGACCGAGCAACGCCGCGUGAGUGAAGAAGGUUUUCGGAUCGUAAAGCUCUGUUGUAAGAGAAGAACGUGUGUGAGAGUGGAAAGUUCACACAGCGACGGUAACUUACCAGAAAGGGACGGCUAACUACGUGCCAGCAGCCGCCGCGGUAA
rnacentral:rRNA from 1 species